rnacentral:rRNA from 1 species
GGUUAAGCGACUAAGCGUACACGGUGGAUGCCCUGGCAGUCAGAGGCGAUGAAGGACGUGCUAAUCUGCGAAAAGCGUCGGUAAGGUGAUAUGAACCGUUAUAGCCGGCGAUGUCCGAAUGGGGAAACCCAGUGCAAUUCGUUGCACUAUCGUUAACUGAAUACAUAGGUUAACGAGGCGAACCGGGGGAACUGAAACAUCUAAGUACCCCGAGGAAAAGAAAUCAACCGAGAUUCCCCCAGUAGCGGCGAGCGAACGGGGAGCAGCCCGGAGUCUGAAUCAGCUUGUGUGUUAGUGGAAGCGUCUGGAAAGUCGCAGGGUACAGGGUGAUACUCCCGUACACUAAAACGCACAGGUUGUGAACUCGAAGAGUAGGGCGGGACACGUGGUAUCCUGUCUGAAUAUGGGGGGACCAUCCUCCAAGGCUAAAUACUCCUGACUGACCGAUAGUGAACCAGUACCGUGAGGGAAAGGCGAAAAGAACCCCGGCGAGGGGAGUGAAAAAGAACCUGAAACCGUGUACGUACAAGCAGUAGGAGCCCACUAGUUGGGUGACUGCGUACCUUUUGUAUAAUGGGUCAGCGACUUAUAUUCUGUAGCAAGGUUAACCGUAUAGGGGAGCCGCAGGGAAACCGAGUCUUAACUGGGCGUUAAGUUGCAGGGUAUAGACCCGAAACCCGGUGAUCUAGCCAUGGGCAGGUUGAAGGUUGGGUAACACUAACUGGAGGACCGAACCGACUAAUGUUGAAAAAUUAGCGGAUGACUUGUGGCUGGGGGUGAAAGGCCAAUCAAACCGGGAGAUAGCUGGUUCUCCCCGAAAGCUAUUUAGGUAGCGCCUCGUGAACUCAUCUUCGGGGGUAGAGCACUGUUUCGGCUAGGGGGUCAUCCCGACUUACCAACCCGAUGCAAACUACGAAUACCGAAGAAUGUUAUCACGGGAGACACACGGCGGGUGCUAACGUCCGUCGUGAAGAGGGAAACAACCCAGACCGCCAGCUAAGGUCCCAAAGUCAUGGUUAAGUGGGAAACGAUGUGGGAAGGCCCAGACAGCCAGGAUGUUGGCUUAGAAGCAGCCAUCAUUUAAAGAAAGCGUAAUAGCUCACUGGUCGAGUCGGCCUGCGCGGAAGAUGUAACGGGGCUAAACCAUGCACCGAAGCUGCGGCAGCGACACUAUGUGUUGUUGGGUAGGGGAGCGUUCUGUAAGCCGUUGAAGGUGGCCUGUGAGGGUUGCUGGAGGUAUCAGAAGUGCGAAUGCUGACAUAAGUAACGAUAAUGCGGGUGAAAAACCCGCACGCCGGAAGACCAAGGGUUCCUGUCCAACGUUAAUCGGGGCAGGGUGAGUCGACCCCUAAGGCGAGGCCGAAAGGCGUAGUCGAUGGGAAACAGGUUAAUAUUCCUGUACUCGGUGUUACUGCGAAGGGGGGACGGAGAAGGCUAUGUUGGCCGGGCGACGGUUGUCCCGGUUUAAGCAUGUAGGCGGAUGUUCCAGGUAAAUCCGGAACGUUACUAACGCUGAGGUGUGAUGACGAGGCACUACGGUGCUGAAGUGACAAAUGCCCUGCUUCCAGGAAAAGCCUCUAAGCAUCAGGUAACAUCAAAUCGUACCCCAAACCGACACAGGUGGUCAGGUAGAGAAUACCAAGGCGCUUGAGAGAACUCGGGUGAAGGAACUAGGCAAAAUGGUGCCGUAACUUCGGGAGAAGGCACGCUGAUGGUAGGUGAAGCGACUUGCUCGUGGAGCUGAAAUCAGUCGAAGAUACCAGCUGGCUGCAACUGUUUAUUAAAAACACAGCACUGUGCAAACACGAAAGUGGACGUAUACGGUGUGACGCCUGCCCGGUGCCGGAAGGUUAAUUGAUGGGGUUAUCCUCGCGGAGAAGCUCUUGAUCGAAGCCCCGGUAAACGGCGGCCGUAACUAUAACGGUCCUAAGGUAGCGAAAUUCCUUGUCGGGUAAGUUCCGACCUGCACGAAUGGCGUAAUGAUGGCCAGGCUGUCUCCACCCGAGACUCAGUGAAAUUGAACUCGCUGUGAAGAUGCAGUGUACCCGCGGCAAGACGGAAAGACCCCGUGAACCUUUACUAUAGCUUGACACUGAACACUGGUCCUUGAUGUGUAGGAUAGGUGGGAGGCUUUGAAGUGUGGACGCCAGUCUGCAUGGAGCCAUCCUUGAAAUACCACCCUUUAAUGGCUGGUGUUCUAACGUGGGCCCGUAAUCCGGGUUGCGGACAGUGUCUGGUGGGUAGUUUGACUGGGGCGGUCUCCUCCUAAAGAGUAACGGAGGAGCACGAAGGUCAGCUAAUCCUGGUCGGACAUCAGGAGGUUAGUGCAAUGGCAUAAGCUGGCUUGACUGCGAGCGUGACGGCGCGAGCAGGUGCGAAAGCAGGUCAUAGUGAUCCGGUGGUUCUGAAUGGAAGGGCCAUCGCUCAACGGAUAAAAGGUACUCCGGGGAUAACAGGCUGAUACCGCCCAAGAGUUCAUAUCGACGGCGGUGUUUGGCACCUCGAUGUCGGCUCAUCACAUCCUGGGGCUGAAGUAGGUCCCAAGGGUAUGGCUGUUCGCCAUUUAAAGUGGUACGCGAGCUGGGUUUAGAACGUCGUGAGACAGUUCGGUCCCUAUCUGCCGUGGGCGCUGGAGAAUUGAGGGGGGCUGCUCCUAGUACGAGAGGACCGGAGUGGACGCAUCACUGGUGUUCGGGUUGUCAUGCCAAUGGCAUUGCCCGGUAGCUAAAUGCGGAAGAGAUAAGUGCUGAAAGCAUCUAAGCACGAAACUUGCCCCGAGAUGAGUUCUCCCUGACCCUUUAAGGGUCCUGAAGGAACGUUGAAGACGACGACGUUGAUAGGCCGGGUGUGUAAGCGCAGCGAUGCGUUGAGCUAACCGGUACUAAUGAACCGUGAGGCUUAACCUU